UGAUCAUCGUGCCGCAUGGCAGGAUGAAGAAAGAUGGCCUCUACAAGUAAGCUAUCGCUAAAGGAUGGGCCUGCGUCUGAUUAGCUAGUUGGUAGUGUAACGGACUACCAAGGCGAUGAUCAGUAGCCGGUCUGAGAGGAUGAACGGCCACAUUGGGACUGAGACACGGCCCAAACUCCUACGGGAGGCAGCAGUGGGGAAUCUUCCGCAAUGGACGAAAGUCUGACGGAGCAACGCCGCGUGAGUGAUGAAGGAUUUCGGUCUGUAAAGCUCUGUUGUUUAUGACGAACGUGCAGUGUGUGAACAAUGCAUUGCAAUGGCGGUAGUAAACGAGGAAGCCACGGCUAACUACGUGCCAGCAGCCGCGGUAAUACGUAGGUGGCGAGCGUUGUCCGGAAUUAUUGGGCGUAAAGAGCAUGUGGGCGGCUUAAUAAGUCGAGCGUGAAAAUGCGGGGCUCAACCCCGUAUGGCGCUGGAAACUGUUAGGCUUGAGUGCAGGAGAGGAAAGGGGAAUUCCCAGUGUAGCGGUGAAAUGCGUAGAUAUUGGGAGGAACACAGUGGCGAAGGCGCCUUUCUGGACUGUGUCUGACGCUGAGAUGCGAAAGCCAGGGUAGCGAACGAAAGUAGAUACCCCGGUAGUCCUGGCCGUAAACGAAGGGUACUAGGUGUAGGAGGUAUCGACCCCUUCUGUGCCGGAGUUAACGCAAUAAGUACCCCGCCUGGGGAGUACGGCCGCAAGGUUGAAACUCAAAGGAAUUGACGGGGGCCCGCACAAGCGGUGGAGUAUGUGGUUUAAUUCGACGCAACGCGAAGAACCUUACCAAGGCUUGACAUUGAGCGCCAUACCCAGAGAUGGGUAGUUCCCUUCGGGGACGUGAAAACAGGUGGUGCAUGGCUGUCGUCAGCUCGUGUCGUGAGAUGUUGGGUUAAGUCCCGCAACGAGCGCAACCCCUAUCCUAUGUUACCAGCAAGUAAAGUUGGGGACUCAUGGGAGACUGCCAGGGACAGCCUGGAGGAAGGCGGGGAUGACGUCAAGUCAUCAUGCCCCUUAUGUCUUGGGCUACACACGUACUACAAUGGUCGGAAACAGAGGGAAGCGAAGCCGCGAGGCAGAGCAAACCCCAGAAACCCGAUCUCAGUUCGGAUCGCAGGCUGCAACCCGCCUGCGUGAAGUCGGAAUCGCUAGUAAUCGCAGGUCAGCAUACUGCGGUGAAUACGUUCCCGGGCCUUGCACA
rnacentral:rRNA from 1 species